rnacentral:rRNA from 1 species
AAUGAACGCUGGCGGCAGGCCUAACACAUGCAAGUCGAACGGAUCCUUCGGGAUUAGUGGCGGACGGGUGAGUAACGCGUGGGAACAUACCCUUUGGUACGGAAUAGCCUCGGGAGACUGGGAGUAAUACCGUAUGUGGUCGAGAGACGAAAGAUUUAUCGCCAAAGGAUUGGCCCGCGUUGGAUUAGGUAGUCGGUGGGGUAAUGGCCUACCAAGCCGACGAUCCAUAGCUGGUUUGAGAGGAUGAUCAGCCACACUGGGACUGAGACACGGCCCAGACUACUACGGGAGGCAGCAGUGGGGAACCUUAGACAAUGGGGGAAACCCUGAUCUAGCCAUGCCGCGUGAUCGAUGAAGGCCUUAGGGUUGUAAAGAUCUUUCAGGUGGGAAGAUAAUGACUGUACCACCAGAAGAAGCCCCGGCUAACUCCGUGCCAGCCGCCGCGGUAACAC